CACGUAGGGUGCGAGCGUUGUCCGGAAUUAUUGGGCGUAAAGAGCUCGUAGGCGGUGUGUCGCGUCGGCCGUGAAAACCUGCAGCUUAACUGUGGGCUUGCGGUCGAUACGGGCAUCACUGGAGUUCGGCAGGGGAGACUGGAAUUCCUGGUGUAGCGGUGGAAUGCGCAGAUAUCGAGGAAGAACACCGGUGGCGAAGGCGGCUCUCUGGGCCUGUCCUGACGCUCAGGCGCGAAAGCUAGGGGAGCAAACAGG
rnacentral:rRNA from 1 species